AGGAAACAGAGUUGCCUCAAGAGGAUGAUGGGGGAGUGAAGGGCUUCCGUGGGCCUCUCUAAAACACAGUCAUAGAGCCUGUGUCUUGUUCCCCUAGUAAGAAAAGGAGGAGCAUUUGCAGUAAUGAAGGGGGAUGGCGACCCAGUAGGAAAAGCUGAUGUAAUGAAGAUGAGAGCACAGGCCCACACGUAUGGUGAGACCAAAGCAUGGACAUUGACCUGAGGCCAAGAAAGCCAGUCCUGCCAUUGUGGUCUUUUAUCCCAGUCCCCACGCCUUCCUAAGCUCCUAUUGCUGGAAAGCAGUUGGACCUUGACUUGUCCCUACUACCUGAUGGAGAAAAUGACGUGCUCCAUGAUUCUAACAUUAUCUUUUUUCUAUGGCUUAUGUUUCUUACCAGUGGAGGAAAAGCCUAGGCAAAAGUGAUCAUCUAUAAAACUCUUUGAAUUUAGGAUCUGCCAAUCCCUACAGGGAAACAGAGGG